UAUCUGUUUAUCCGGGGCUUCUGGUGAAAAGACGUGCGAUGUUAUAAAGUUUGGUAGAGGGGAAUUUGACAAGAAAAAAGAAUGCUGGAAGAAGGAACCUACAACGCCUCAUUUGGAGGUUACAUCUAGCCCUCAAUCUUUAAACAUCAGGAGAAAAAUUCAGCGUGCGCUCAAGUGCAGACUGGGAAUACAGAAGUUUCUUGCUCAGAAAUCGUCUGAUUGUGAUCCAAGCAAAUAUACAAAUAUUGGGCUGAAAAACGUUUGUCCAAUCAAAUUCGAGUAUGCAACAGAGAUUAAGAGAGGAAGAAAAAGAUGUUAUGUUGUGUAUCCUACCCGUCAAUGUGUAACAUUCGCAAAGUGCCAGACAAAAAAGAAUUGCUCGAAGACAACACAACGCAGCGUGAAAAGUGCUUGUUUGGCUGACCGAUUCCGUUACUUCAACGUUUGGAUAUUCUGUCCGGACAACCAUAGUUUUGAAUAUGAAACCGUGCUGUUACCUCAGUGCUGUUCCUGCAGAGAAUACAAGCGCUGUUAACAAGCCAUAAACGAAACAGCAUGGAAUACAGUUGUUCUAAGGCUGAAAAUGUGUAACUCUCUAAAGUUUCUACAAUAGCUGAGCCUUUAACAUGUUGCAGGAUUUUCUUUUGCUGUUAAAUUACAUCAAUAAAAGCAUUGAUGCUAU